AUGCACGUGGCGGCCCCUGGACGCAUCAUUUUGGUAAAAGCAGUUCUCACGGCCAUAGCAAUCUACCAUCUAACACGCCUUGAUAUCCCGGUCGAGGUGCGGAAGAAAAUCGAUAGCCUGAGACGUGCCUAUCUAUGGGCAGGCUGCGAUAAGGUGUCUGGAGGCAAAUGUAAGGUUAACUGGAACCUUGUUUGCAAACCCAAGAUUUUCGGCGGCCUGGGUGUGCUAAACCUCCAAAAUUUUGCCACCGCCCUUCGACUCCGCUGGCUUUGGUUCGAGUGGGCUGACCCCCCCCAAAACUUGGGCUGGAAUGGAGACACCCUGUAG
rnacentral:rRNA from 1 species